AACGAACGCUGGCGGCAGGCUUAACACAUGCAAGUCGAACGCCCCGCAAGGGGAGUGGCAGACGGGUGAGUAACGCGUGGGAAUCUACCCAGUUCUACGGAACAACUGAGGGAAACUUCAGCUAAUACCGUAUACGCCCUACGGGGGAAAGAUUUAUCGGAAUUGGAUGAGCCCGCGUUGGAUUAGCUAGUUGGUGAGGUAACGGCUCACCAAGGCGACGAUCCAUAGCUGGUCUGAGAGGAUGAUCAGCCACACUGGGACUGAGACACGGCCCAGACUCCUACGGGAGGCAGCAGUGGGGAAUAUUGGACAAUGGGCGCAAGCCUGAUCCAGCCAUGCCGCGUGAGUGAUGAAGGCCUUAGGGUUGUAAAGCUCUUUCAGUGGGGACGAUAAUGACGGUACCCACAGAAGAAGCCCCGGCUAACUUCGUGCCAGCAGCCGCGGUAAUAC
rnacentral:rRNA from 1 species